rnacentral:rRNA from 1 species
AGUGAGUAACGCGUGGGAACCUUCCCAAUGGUACGGAAUAGCUCAGGGAAACUUGAGGUAAUACCGUAUAAGCCCCUAGGGGGAAAGAUUUAUCGCCAUUGGAUGGGCCCGCGUCGGAUUAGCUAGUUGGUGAGGUAAUGGCUCACCAAGGCGACGAUCCGUAGCUGGUUUGAGAGAAUGACCAGCCACACUGGGACUGAGACACGGCCCAGACUCCUACGGGAGGCAGCAGUGGGGAAUCUUGGACAAUGGGCGCAAGCCUGAUCCAGCCAUGCCGCGUGAGUGACGAAGGCCUUAGGGUUGUAAAGCUCUUUUGCCGGGGACGAUAAUGACGGUACCCGGAGAAUAAGUCCCGGCUAACUUCGUGCCAGCAGCCGCGGUAAUACGAAGGGGACUAGCGUUGUUCGGAAUUACUGGGCGUAAAGCGCACGUAGGCGGAUUGCUAAGUCAGGGGUGAAAUCCCGGGGCUCAACCUCGGAACUGCCUUUGAUACUGACAAUCUCGAGUCCGAUAGAGGUGGGUGGAAUUCCUAGUGUAGAGGUGAAAUUCGUAGAUAUUAGGAA